GUCGAACGGUAACAGGAAGCAGCUUGCUUCUUCGCUGACGAGUGGCGGACGGGUGAGUAAUGUCUGGGAAACUGCCUGAUGGAGGGGGAUAACUACUGGAAACGGUAGCUAAUACCGCAUAACGUCGCAAGACCAAAGAGGGGGACCUUCGGGCCUCUUGCCAUCGGAUGUGCCCAGAUGGGAUUAGCUUGUGGUGGGGUAACGGCUCACCAGGCGACGAUCCCUAGCUGGUCUGAGAGGAUGACCAGCCACACUGGAACUGAGACACGGUCCAGACUCCUACGGGAGGCAGCAGUGGGGAAUAUUGCACAAUGGGCGCAAGCCUGAUGCAGCCAUGCCGCGUGUAUGAAGAAGGCCUUCGGGUUGUAAAGUACUUUCAGCGGGGAGGAAGGGAGUAAAGUUAAUACCUUUGCUCAUUGACGUUACCCGCAGAAGAAGCACCGGCUAACUCCGUGCCAGCAGCCGCGGUAAUACGGAGGGUGCAAGCGUUAAUCGGAAUUACUGGGCGUAAAGCGCACGCAGGCGGUUUGUUAAGUCAGAUGUGAAAUCCCCGGGCUCAACCUGGGAACUGCAUCUGAUACUGGCAAGCUUGAGUCUCGUAGAGGGGGGUAGAAUUCCAGGUGUAGCGGUGAAAUGCGUAGAGAUCUGGAGGAAUACCGGUGGCGAAGGCGGCCCCCUGACGAAGAC
rnacentral:rRNA from 1 species